UGUGUGCGCGCUCUGAAAUUAUUGACUGCGAUCAUCAUGCGCAGAGGUUAACCAACUACCAAUGAUCUAUCUAGCCAGCUAAUGUGCUCCUAUGCAAACCGACAGUCCAGGUGUCAAUAUCUGAUAUUUUCAGCAUGCCAUUGUUAACGUUAGCUAAAUAAAUGAUCGUUGCGGUAUUCCGCCUCAUCAGGUGUUGAUGAACUCGGCUUGAUGGAUCACAAAAUGGAGCAAAGUCCUCCUGCUAACGUUACCGAUGGUGAGCAAGCUAGCGUUUGGUUAGCUAGUGGUAGUUUGUAGCAUGACUCGUUUGUUUGUCUUAACCAAGGUUUGGUUACAAUUUCGAGGGUUGUGCAGCAAUUUAUCGUGACAUUGCUGGGCUAGUAGCCGACUUCUUGCAAACGUUGCGCUAACAGUUGCUAGCUUUUUCGUCAAAGAUGGCUAAUAAUCUCGUCCCCAGCCUGGGGCCCAGGCUAAUUGAGCUAGUUAGUGUAGGGGGGUGUGUUUAGUAGUGAACACGAUUAGGAGAUAGCUAGCUAGUUAACAUAACAUCACAUAGCUACUCUGACAAGAUAAUUGUUUUCGGUUGCUUUCAGGCAUAGACAUCGCGGAAUGGGGUGUUCGGAAAGCUCAACAUGCAGUGGCUGUUGUCCUAAUAAAGAGUAACGUUAAAUCUUCCAGGAGAAGUGGUCGACAGCACGCAGAACAUUGUCAGGAUGAGGCCUGGAAAACCAAAGCCCAGGGCACGUAUAGAACAAUGAGACAGAUAUUUCACUGGAUGUAUAAAUGUGAAGCAUCCGCUUGGUGUUCACUACUAUUAUUAUUGCUGUUGGUCCCACCAUUUUUGUUAUAUGUAUACUUUGACAAUGUAAGUAAUUUAACUUGCCAUGUCAAUGAAGUCUAUUGAAUUGAGAAAGCCCACUGGCGAGCAGUGAGAAGAUGGAACGAGAUAGAUGGCCAACAUUCUGCACAUGUUCUCAUAGAUUAAACAUUUGAUCUCAAUACAGUUUUCUGUUUCCAAAACUAGAAUCUGUUAUGAACAGAGUGGAUUGAUGUUUGUACACUUUACCCUUUUGCAAAAGUUGUUUAGAAGGGGUGAAAUGUAAUUGCACAAUUCACAGGGUAGGCGUUCCCUAACGGAAAUAUGCAGAUGAUGCUAGAACGCACCAAUAGGAUCGUGCUUGGCUCAGCCCCCCUCCUUGCGGGCUCAGCCCCCCUCCUUGCGUGCUCUGCCCACUAUGGCUCAUUUGUUCCCAUUGGAAACGACAGGCCGUGGUCUAUCUUGGUUUAAUUAUGCAAAUCUUUGCUCCGGGCAACUAGGAGGGAAUGCUUAGACUGCGACAAGAGCUCCUACUCACCCAGAUGCUUUCAAAGCCGAAGAACACCAGUGGCGCAGAUGCUGGAGAUGGUUUCAUGGGCCUGCUCUCUCAGGACCUUGUGGGGCCAGGCUCGUUGAAAGAUCAGCUCAACUCAGACAUGGACUCUGGCUGUGGGGCAGAAAACAACAAAGAGACACUGCAACCCACUCAAGACUCUGAAGAACCACCCAGUGCCCAGCCAGCCUUCCCACCUGUCAACACCAUGGCUCCCCAGAUACCAUUCUCCAGUUUGUUUCCAGGUUGAGGAGAGGCUGACAGAGUGUUUGACCCUGCUGGGAGGGAACAGCUUGCUGAGGUCCCUGCUCAUCCGUUAUGUCCUGUCUGAGAUCAACCGGCUGGCAGAGCACGUCUGGAUCACCUGCCAGGACCAUGCCUCAGGACUACCUGGGAUGAUGACUCCUUGCUGUCCCCAGUCCACCUGGCCGUGCUGCUGCUCCAGUUUCAACUGUUCUGCCUGCGGUUAUGGAAACCUGACCUGUUCACCGGACGUGCUACCUGUCCCAGACCUGCUGUUUUCAACUCUCUAGAGACAGCAGGCGCGUAGAGAUACUAUUAAUGAUCGGCUAUGAAAAGCCAACUGACAUUUACUCCUGAGGUGCUGACUUGCUGCACCCUCGACAACUACUGUGAUUAUUAUUAUUUGACUAUGCUGGUCAUUUAUGAACAUUUGAACAUCUUGGCCAUGUUCUGUUAUAAUCUCCACCCGGCACAGCCAGAAGAGGACUGGCCACCCCUCAUACCCUGGUUCCUCUCUAGGUUUCUUCCUAGGUUUUGGCCUUUCUAGGGAGUUUUUCCUAGCCACCGUGUAUCUACACCUGCAUUGCUUUCUGUUUGGGGUUUUAGGCUGGGUUUCUGUACAGCACUUUGAGAUAUCAGCUGAUGUAAGAAGGGCUACAUAAAUACAUUUGAUUUGAUUAUUCCCCCUCAGGACACUGAAAAUAUUUGGCAUGGGUCCUCAGAUCCUCAAAAGGUUCUACAGCUGCACCAUCGAGAGCAUCCUGACUGGUUGCAUCACUGCCUGGUAUGGCAACUGCUCGGCCUCCGACCGCAAGGCACUACAGAGGGUAGUGCGUACGGCCCAGUACAUCACUGGGGCCAAGCUUCCUGCCAUCCAGGACCUCUAUACCAGGCGGUAUUAGAGGAAGGCCAUAAAAAUUCAAGGACUCCAUCCACAUUAGUCAUAGACUGUUCUCUCUGCUACUGCAAGGCAAGCGUUACCGGAGCGCUUGGUCCAAAGGUCUUAACAGAUUCUACCUCCAAGCCAUAAGACUCCUGAACAGCUAAUCAAAGAGCUACCCAGACCCCUCUUUUACACUGCUGCUACUCUCUGUUUAUUAUCUAUGCAUAGUCACUUUAACUCUACCUAAAUGUACAUAUUACUUCAAUUACAUUGACUAACCGGUGCCCCCUCACAUUGACUCUGUACCGGUACCCCCUGAUUUAUAGCGUCGCUAUUGUUAUUUUACUACUGCUGUUGAAUUAUUUGUUACUUUUACUUUCAAAAAAUGUUUUUACUUAUGAAAAAAAAAAGUUAACUUCUUAAAGCAUUAUUGGUUAAGGUCUUGUAAGUAAGCAUUUCACUGUAAGGUCUACACCUGUUGUAUUCGGCGCAUGUGACGAAUAACAUUUGAUUUGAUUUGAAAUGGCACUCUAUAUUUGCUAUAUAUUCCACUACUUUUGACCAGGGCCAAUAGGGCUCUGGUCAAAGGUAGUGCGCUAUGUGCAGCCAUUUGGGACAAAAGUAGUGCACUAUAAGGAAUUUGGAUGCAGACCAAAGUCCUGGGGCCUCAUUUAUUAAUAUUGGGUAGAACUAUUCUAAAAUACUACUUACUCACGGAGUUUAGAAUGUCCGUACGCAUAGAAGAAGUGUGAUUUAUCAAACAGUCCCACGAGCAUCAUAGCACACUGGUAGGAGAUAACUUUUGAUAAAUACCAGUUGUUCUCAGUGCUUGUGCAUGACCAUGACUAUUUACAUUUCGAAACGCGCCUAAUUAACCAUAUAUGGUCAAAAUCAUCCCUUUUAAUACCCUUUACAACACUGUAUCAUGAAAUAGCCAUACAAAGGUGCAACUGAAAAAAACAAAGAAAAAAGGCUUUAGUAGAGGUGCUAGUGUCAGAUCAUUUUUAUUGAACCUUUAUUUAACCAGGUAAGACCCAUCGAGGUUAAAAACCUAUUUUACGAGGGCGACCUGGCAAGAAGACUAAACAGGGAAGUAGCAGCAUGUACAUAAAAUACUAAAUACACACAAAAGACAAAGUGUCAUAAGUUACAGAUACAAUUGAAGAUUAGAAACAGCUGCAGCUAUCACAAUCCAAUUGAGUAAAACCAAAAGGUUUGAUUUGGCUCGCUCAGUUGUGGUUUGACCAGUAAAACUGCUACAACGAGAGGACCAUUAGGACAAUUCAAGUUGCUUUAGCAAUGGCAAAUAUACUUCAAAUGAGUAGGCAACAAACCAAUAAGCCAUCCAUCCAGCUGUAGAGACAGCUCCCUGCUGUAGGCAUAUUGCUGUUCUGCAGAAUGAACGAGUCGUACAUUACACCUGGUCACCUUGCCGCCACAUUCAGCAGCAUUUUUUUGAGCAUCACAUAACCUGCACAUAGUGGAAGCCUUUUCUGUUCGUUUUGGGAUGAUGCUUUUAUGGCGAUGUGGGCGUCAUCUGUUGCUUCGUUUGUAGGCUAUUUUGGAACCCAUUGAUGGCAGAGAAACCCCCCUUGACUUUAACCUGCUGUGCGAUGGUGUUUGGAAAUUGUAUGUUAGUUCAUUUUGCCGAAGAUUGCAUCCAAAACAUUAGCUCAUCGAGGGAUGUGAGAUGCCGAUAGCACUUUGAUGUGCACCAGAAUAGCAUAUGUUUCUGAAAUCCUCACAAAGAUCCUAUAUGAUUGGUUUUGGGAAACGGUAUCUUAUGAGCCAAUCCGUACCCUCUGCAAAAAAGUCCCACCUGUCUCUAAAAACACGCUUUCUGCGAAAUGCAGUGUGUGCCAAAUCUUCCAACAGAGCAAUAUCAGCCAUCUCUCAUUUCAUUUCCCAUUAUCUCAGUCUUUUAUAGUAUUUCAAAAAUGGUUUCACUUUCACACGUGCCCUGUGAGAGUCUCCUCUGAACAGUUGAUGUUGCGAUAUGUUUAUUACUUUAAGUAUUUAUUUGGGCUGCAAUUUGUGAGGCUGGUAACUAAUGAACGUAUCCUUUACAGCAGAGGUAACUCUGGGUCUUUCUUUCCUGUGGCUGUCCUCAUGAGAGCCAGUUUCAUCACAGCGCUUGAUGGUCCAUCCUGACCGGUUGCAUCACUGCCUGGUACGGCAAUUGGUCGGCCUCCGACCGCAAGGCACUUCAGAGGGUAGUGCGUACGGCCCAGUACAUCACUGGGGCAAAGCUACCUGCCAUCCAGGACCUCUAUACCAGGCGGUAUCAGAGGAAGGCCCUAAAAAUUGUUAAAAACCCCAGCCACCACAGUCAUAGACUGUUCUCUACUACCGCAUGGCAAGCGGUACCGGAGUGCCAAGUCUAGGACAAAAAGGCUUCUCAACAGUUUUUACCCCCAAGCCAUAGGAUUCCUGAACAGGUAACCAAAUGGUUACCCGGACUAUUUGCAUUGUGUGCCCCCCCCAACCCCUCUUUUACGCUGCUGCUACUCUCUUCUUAUCUUAUAUGCAUAGUCACUUUAACUAUACAUUCAUGUACAUACUACCUAAAUUGGCCCGACCAACCAGUGCUCCCGCACAUUGGCUAACCGGGCUAUCUGCAUUGUGUCCCACCACCCGCCAACACCUCUUUUCACGCUUCUGCUAUUCUCUGUUCAUAUAUGCAUAGUCACUUUAACGAUACCUAUAUGUACAUACUACCUCAAUAAGCCUGACUAACAGGUGUCUGUAUAUAUCCUUGCUACUCUUUUUUCAAAUGUAUUUUUACUGUUUUUAUUUCUUUACUUACCCACACACACACACAUACCUUAUUUUUUCCCCCGCACUAUUGGUUAGAGCCUGUAAGUAAGCAUUUCACUGUAAGGUCUACACCUGUUGUAUUUGGCGCACGUGACAAAUAAACUUUGAUUUUUGCGA